rnacentral:rRNA from 1 species
UACGUAGGGGGCGAGCGUUGUCCGGAUUCAUUGGGCGUAAAGCGCGCGUAGGCGGCCUGGCAAGUCGGCCGUGAAAUCUCCCAGCUCAACUGGGAGGGGUCGGGCGAGACUGCGAGGCUCGAGGUGGGCAGAGGGCAGUGGAAUUCCGGGUGUAGUGGUGGAAUGCGUAGAGAUCCGGAGGAACACCAGUGGCGAAGGCGGCUGCCUGGGCCUGGCCUGACGCUGAGGCGCGAAAGCGUGGGGAGCAAUCCGG